CCCUACCCCAAAGAGACCUCACCAUGAGCCCCUACCCCACAGAGACCUCACCAUGAAGAGGUGAAGGAGUAGGAUUUCCUUUGAAGGAUCUUGAAGUCCUUGACAGAUGAGAAGAAUAUUGAAGCUGGCUAAGAAGGUCACAGCUGGAAGGCCUGAGCUGCUUUGCUGAGGGGUAGUGGGCCCUGCUGAACAAGACGGCAGUUAACUAUGGCUAACUGAAAACAAGAAAAGUGAAACCACAGGGGGAUGACCACACCUGACUCCCUUACCGAAGGACGCAGGCAUUGGUGUUGCUUGGAAAACGUUCUAUUACAAAUGCUCACAGACGGAAAGGUUGUCCUAGAC
rnacentral:lncRNA from 1 species